rnacentral:rRNA from 1 species
ACGGAGGGUCCGAGCGUUAAUCGGAAUUACUGGGCGUAAAGCGUGCGCAGGCGGUUAUUUAAGCCAGAUGUGAAAGCCCCGGGCUCAACCUGGGAAUUGCAUUUGGAACUGGGUAACUAGAGUCUUGUAGAGGGAGGUAGAAUUUCAGGUGUAGCGGUGAAAUGCGUAGAUAUCUGAAGGAAUACCGGUGGCGAAGGCGGCCUCCUGGACAAAGACUGACGCUCAUGCACGAAAGCGUGGGGAGCAAACAGG